rnacentral:rRNA from 1 species
CCUGACGUCUUCUUUGGCCUUACCAGUCUAAACUCGGAAACUAAGCACUGUCGGGCCGGCUCACUACGUGGUUAGGAGACCACCUGUGAAUACCAGAGGUGUUGGCU